rnacentral:lncRNA from 1 species
UAACUGCUUUUCUGCACAUAGUAUGUGGACAUGGUGAGAUGAAUAGAUGGCUGAAGCAUCAACCGGAAGAGAUCCUUGACCAAGGAAGAAAAGCUUCAAUCAAGAAAGAACCAUCCGGUUAGCAAGAACGACAAAAAUAACGAAGAACAAGAGAAAACAUACAAGGACAAUCUCUUCGAUUUAGUGAUGCAAAGAGCAAAAAGGUACCAUACGUACUUCAGUUUUUCUUGCACUGGAUCAAACGAUCUGCAACAUCGCUAGCGGCUCCCGCGUCCAGGCGCCUCGGCUGCUCAUCCACGGGAUGCAACGGCCAGAGCGGAUGAAUGGCUGGGGCUGGAAGAGGCACAGCGGCAACGCGACGGCAGCGCCCUCAGGCGCACGCGCAUGGCGCAGCGCGCCCUCAUCCGCGGCUUCCUCCGUCACAAGGCAAAAGGGCGGCGUCCAUCCAACCGCGACGACGCUCCCCAGCGACUCUCCCUCACCUGAGGGCUGAGGCAUACUUCUCCGGCGGCAGCGGUUAAUCCCUGACCGCACAAGAGAAAUUGGGGAUUCUUAUCCUCUCGGCCAUCUUGCAUUUGAAUCCCAGUGGACGUAUUUAUUUACAUAUAAGUCCCUGGGCUUCUCUAGUCAGGCUAAGUUCAGUCUUUAACUCUCUAUUAGUGUGCUUGAUACUCCAUUCUACGCCCAUAAUUUAAGUAUGAAGCAUGCAGGCCUUCACAUAUUGCAAAAGUAUUUCCA